rnacentral:misc_RNA from 1 species
UCUCCGUUGGUGAACCAGCGGAGGGAUCAUUGCUGGAACGCGCUUCGGCGCACCCAGAAACCCUUUGUGAACUUAUACCUAUUGUUGCCUCGGCGUAGGCCGGCCUCUUCACUGAGGCCCCCUGGAAACAGGGAGCAGCCCGCCGGCGGCCAACCAAACUCUUGUUGUUACAGUGUCAUUCUGAAUUUAAAAACUUAAUCAGUUAAAACUUUCAACAACGGAUCUCUUGGUUCUGGCAUCGAUGAAGAACGCAGC